GGUCAUUUGGGGGAAGAUGGCUCGGUAAUAAGGAGGGGGGUUGGGGUGGUCGGAUUGAGUGGGCGUAAAUAGGUUGGAGGCUGUCAGGUAGGUCUGCUGUGGAAACUCUGGGCUGAACCUCGAGAUGUCGGCGGAGACCAGCUGGCUAGAGUCCGGAAGAGGGGAGUGGAAGUCCGGGGGUAGCGGGGAAAUGCGCAGAUAUCAGGAAGAACACCCGUGGCGAAGGCGGCUCUCUGGGACGGUACUGACGCUGAGACGCGAAAGCGUGGGGAGCGAACAGGAUUAGAUACCCCGGUAGUC
rnacentral:rRNA from 1 species